rnacentral:rRNA from 1 species
GAUGAACGCCGGCGGUGUGCCUAAUACAUGCAAGUCGAGCGCACUGGCCCAACAGAAAUGACGUGCUUGCACUGAUUUGACGUUGGAUUCCCAGUGAGCGGCGGACGGGUGAGUAACACGUGGGCAACCUGCCCCAAAGCGGGGGAUAACAUUUGGAAACAGGUGCUAAUACCGCAUAACUUGGAAAACCACAUGGUUUUCCAAUAAAAGAUGGUUUCGGCUAUCACUUUGGGAUGGGCCCGCGGUGCAUUAGCUAGUUGGUAAGGUAACGGCUUACCAAGGCGAUGAUGCAUAGCCGAGUUGAGAGACUGAUCGGCCACAAUGGAACUGAGACACGGUCCAUACUCCUACGGGAGGCAGCAGUAGGGAAUCUUCCACAAUGGGCGCAAGCCUGAUGGAGCAACACCGCGUGAGUGAAGAAGGGUUUCGGCUCGUAAAACUCUGUUGUUGGAGAAGAACGUGCGUAAGAGUAACUGUUUACGCAGUGACGGUAUCCAACCAGAAAGUCACGGCUAACUACGUGCCAGCAGCCGCGGUAAUACGUAGGUGGCAAGCGUUAUCCGGAUUUAUUGGGCGUAAAGCGAGCGCAGGCGGUUGCUUAGGUCUGAUGUGAAAGCCUUCGGCUUAACCGAAGAAGUGCAUCGGAAACCGGGCGACUUGAGUGCAGAAGAGGACAGUGGAACUCCAUGUGUAGCGGUGGAAUGCGUAGAUAUAUGGAAGAACACCAGUGGCGAAAGCGGCUGUCUGGUCUGCAACUGACGCUGAGGCUCGAAAGCAUGGGUAGCGAACAGG